CUUCACCGAGCCCAGCCACAACGGCCGGUCCCGGUCUUGUCCGUAUGUUGACAUCAACGCCUGGGCUUC
rnacentral:antisense_RNA from 1 species